AUGAUGUUCCUCCUAGUGGAUCGUCCCCACAUGCUCCCAGCCCAGCCCCAAAAGAAGUUGCACCGGCGGACCUGCGAGAGGCUGGUUCCCAUGCAAUCGGCUGAUCCUAGGUACCCGAGUCCUGCACGCAUCAAGGAUCUGUUCUCUAUGCAUGAUGGCCUAAACUCUAGAAGUUCCAGGGUUGCCGAGAGAGAGGAGCUCGCAAACAACUCGUACGAUGAGUACCAGAACUGGGAGCAUGGCGAAGUUGCUCGUCGUAUCAUUCACAUGGCUCGACUUGCCAAGGAGCUAUUGGAGAAGGAGAUGGAUGGCACGACCGACUCCUUGAAGCUUGUCCUGGAAGUGUGGAUGGACAUUCUCAUUUACGCGAGCCACAAGUGCAAUAGGGAGUCCCAUGCCCAGAAGUGCAACAAUGCGGGGAGCUGA
rnacentral:rRNA from 1 species